GUAAAAUAUGGCAACUGAGGUUCACACACUCACGAUCGACAAGAAAGACUUCCCUUCAGACACGUGUUGCAUCUGCGUCUGUUUAAAUGCGCUGCGCCCUUGAGGGUAAAUGAGAGUAUCACAGACGCACGCCAGCGAUGUUCAAUUAUCAAGAUGUUAGCACGGUUGGAAACUGCUCAGGUUAUGACACCUGUCCAACCAAGGCAUAAACACGGAAACAACAAAUGACCGAUGCCCCCAUAAAUCGGAACUGUAAACUAUAUUUUUUAAUAAAAAAAUACGACGUAUAGAACAAUAUCAGACAAACGUUAUGAUGUCUUUGGAAACGAUACACAAACAGCUCAAAGUCACAAUGCUACAUUCCUUAUACAAUACAACCUUUCCUAGAGAGUAAAGUGUGACACAAGAAUACAGCAAACCGUUCAGAAACGUGGACUUCUACUCGCGUAGACACAAUCAGUAGCAUCGCAGUCCAGUGCCCCCUCCCCCCAGUGAGUACCCUGUCCUCCCAGUCCCCCCAGUGGGUCCCAGUGAGGCCGCCGUCCCCCCAGUGGGUCCCAGUGAGGCCGCUGUCCCCCAGUGGGUCCCAGUGAGUCCGCCGUCCCCCAAAUGGGUGCCAGUGGGUCAGAGUGAGUCCCCUGUCGCCCCAGUGGGUCCCCUGUCGCCCCAGUGGCCCCCAGUGGCCCCCAGUGGGUCCCAGUGGGUCCCAGUGGGUCCCAGUGGGUCCCAGUGGGUCCCAGUGGGUCCCAGUGGGUCCCCUGUCGCCCCAGUGGCUUCCAGUGGGUCCCAGUGGGUCCCCUGUCGCCCCAGUGGCUCCCAGUGGGUCCCCUUCCCCCCAGUGGCUCCCAGUGCCCCGGGGUGGCGGCGGGGUCACACCAGGCUCUCUGGCAGGUUGUCCACAGCAGUGCUGGCCACACAGAAGAGCUGCUUCACGCUCCAGCGCUCGGCUCGGCCCUCAGGGGCCCCGACGCCGGUCGACAGCGAGGGGGCGGAGCUAGAGACAGGGCUGUGUCUGAGUGACCCCGAGCGCCAAAGCGCGUCCUUGAGGGGCGAUGUCAGCCGGCGGCCGGCGGGCGUGUCCGUCGCCGCCGCCGCCGCCACGUCCUCUGAGCUCGAGGCUCCCGAUUGGCCGAGCAGUCUGUGAUGCGCCGGCGUCACGGCCGGCCUCCGCCCGAGGCGCUCGCCGCUGCUGCGGCCCGCCAGAGGGGUGUGGCCUGUGGGCCGCCACGUCCACCGCGCUCUGUGUCCGCCGCACCGACGCCCACGGCCCGUCACCCGGGCAACGGUGGAGGCCCUCCGAAGAGCUGCCGGACCCGCAGUCAGACACGUCGCCAUGGGAACC
ensembl:lncRNA